ACAUUACAAAGAGGAUAUUCCGGAUUUUUCUUAUUUCAUAUCUUCAAGGCAAAUCGACCCGAUCCAGUGGCUGAUGAAGUUUUGAACCUUUUUUCUAAUAUUUGUUGAAAAUUUGUGUGUUUCUGCUUGAGCCGUACGAGAUGAAAUUUUCAUAUACGGCUCUUAGAGGGGGACAUAGGUUAGUUACCUAUCUCAAUAAAGUAUAUGAUUGGUUUGAAGAACGUCUUGAGAUUCAGGCAAUUGCAGAUGAUAUAACUAGUAAAUAUGUUCCUCCUCAUGUCAACAUAUUUUAUUGUUUAGGGGGAAUUACACUUACUUGCUUUCUAGUACAAGUCGCUACCGGUUUUGCUAUGACUUUUUACUAUCGCCCAACUGUUACAGAGGCUUUUUCCUCAGUUCAAUACAUAAUGACCGAGGCCAACUUUGGUUGGUUAAUCCGAUCAGUAGAUCGGAAGAGUAC